UCUGUGCAGCCUUGUGAAGCUGCUCCUUGCAAGGACUAUUGCUUGUGGGCACAACAAGGUUGCAGAAAGCAGAUCAAGGAAUGAAAAGGCGUGACUUCCAGAGGCUCUGGAGUUUCACGUGCGAUGUUCCUUGGACAGGCUCCUGCUUUCCACGGUGGUGAUGGUCUUGCUCUGUAGAAAUCACCUUUCUUGAGGCAGGUAGAGAAAAACCUGACAGCCAGAUAUUGUUUGAAUCAGGGAAAGCUCUUCCUGUCAGACACUGUCGGCUGUUACAAUC